GCCGGUGAAGCUCAAACUUGGACGAGCGGCCCCUUACAAGGGCAGGUUGAUGGUUCGAGUCCAUCCAUCGGCA
rnacentral:tRNA from 1 species